rnacentral:rRNA from 2 species
GGUUCUAGAACUGAUUUAAUGGUUAAGAGGGACAAACCGGGGGCAUUCGUAUCAUUACGCGAGAGGUGAAAUUCGUGGACCGUAGUGAGACGCCCAACAGCGAAAGCAUUUGCCAAGAAUGUCUUCAUUAAUCAAGAACGAAAGUCAGAGGUUCGAAGGCGAUUAGAUACCGCCCUAGUUCUGACCGUAAACGAUGCCAUCUCGCGAUUCGGAGGGUUUUUGCCCUGCCGAGGAGCUAUCCGGAAACGAAAGUCUUUCGGUUCCGGGGGUAGUAUGGUUGCAAAGCUGAAACUUAAAGAAAUUGACGGAAGGGCACCACAAGGCGUGGAGCUUGCGGCUUAAUUUGACUCAACACGGGAAAACUCACCCGGUCCGGACACCAUUAGGACUGACAGAUUGAAAGCUCUUUCUCGAUUUGGUGGUUGGUGGUGCAUGGCCGUUCUUAGUUGGUGGAGUGAUUUGUCUGGUUUAUUCCGAUAACGAGCGAGACUCUAGCCUGCUAAAUAGUUGGCGAAUCUUCGGGUUCGUAUAACUUCUUAGAGGGAUAAGCGGUGUUUAGCCGCACGAGAUUGAGCGAUAACAGGUCUGUGAUGCCCUUAGAUGUCCGGGGCUGCACGCGUGCUACACUGGUGGACUCAGCGGGUUUUUCCUAUGCCGAAAGGUAUCGGUAAACCGUUGAAAUUCUUCCAUGUCCGGGAUAGGGUAUUGUAAUUAUUGCCCUUAAACGAGGAAUGCCUAGUAAGUGUGAGUCAUCAGCUCACGUUGAUUACGUCCCUGCCCUUUGUACACACCGCCCGUCGCUAUCCGGGACUGAACUGAUUCGAGAAGAGUGGGGACUGUCGCUUCGAGGUUUAACGACUUCGUUGUUGCGGAAACCAUUUUUAUCGCAUUGGUUUGAACCGGGUAAAAGUCGUAACAAGGUAGCUGUAGGUGAACCUGCAGCUG